AAUGGCCAUCCGCAUCGGUGAGUCUCUCACCAGUCUUUCACUAAUUGUAUUAAUAUUCGAUUAAUUAAAUAUUAAUAUAAUUGGUGAGAGACUCUGAAAGACUCACCAAUGUGAAUGUUCUAA